UCGCUACUACCGAUUGGGAAAAUUUCAGAAUGCUUAGGACUGGAACUUGUGCCACUUCACUGUGGUACUUGAUCCGGAAAUAAGUAUAAUGAUAUUUUCCUAGAGGAAGUAA
rnacentral:rRNA from 1 species